rnacentral:lncRNA from 1 species
AUGGGUAGGAGGUGUCUGAGGUCAAAUCUGAAUCCAGGAUCUCCCAUCUCUGGCCCUGGCUCUCAAACCACUGAGUCAUUUAGCUGCUCUCUAUUGUCAAACCCAUUUAAAAGAUUUUUGAACUGCCUUUGCUUGGUUCUACAUUGUGCUCUGGGCUUGGAAGGGCAAAUCUGCAAAUGGGCCGGUCACCUUCUGUGCAUACUGGUGACAUUCAUGGACUGCAAGCAAUUGCAUUUGUCUCCUGUUCAUCCAGCUCUAAGUGGAAUAGUCUGGGAUGUUCCUAAGGGCUUGUUUACAAGCUCUGUGAACACUGUAUUAGGCAUGAUUAUGCUCCAGCCUUCUAACAAUAUUGCUCAUAAAAAAGGUAAAGAAUGUCCCUUAUGCAACCAAAUUACAUGUAAGUGGUUCCUUCAGAUUGAGAGCAUGCCACAAGGCACUUGCCAUCUCAGCAGCAGGAACAGCUAGGCUGAUAUGUCUCGUCUGACUUUUGUCCCCCGCUGAUCUCCUUGCUUUAACAUUGACUGGCUCCCAGGAGCCAUCCUUUCUUCCUGUGCCCCUCCCUCCUCCUCCAGAACUCAUGCUACACCCACCAUGACACUUUAGAAAAGGCACAAAAAUGCCUGCAUUCAGACUGGAAUACCAAGAGAGGGGGGAAAAUGAAAGAUAGCAUCCAAGACCUUUCUGCAUAACCCCAGAUGAUGGUCGAAGCCCUCAGAGGGGAAAUAUUAGAUGCUACAAGUUAGGAUCUUGCCCAGAAAUGAAGAAAUUUCUCUCUAAAUGAGAGCAGCCAGGAUCAGAGAGCAAGAGGACAUGCUUCCAAUAAGUACAUUUCCCUUGCCUUUAGAGAAUCCAUGCUCUUUCAUUUCUUUCUGAAAAGUCUCCAUCUCCUAUUUGCCUCCCGGGGGUAGCCUUUGUUUGGGGAGCAAUGAUAUGAAGUUACCUUCUUUUCAUAUCACUGCAAGGGAAGGUUUCUUUGAACAACAAAGUGUUUCCUUUUAACUAAGUCAGGUUGGUCAUGGGCAUAAUUAUUAAUAAUAAACUGAAAUUUAUCUAAUGCUUUAAAGUUUGC